GAUGAACGCUGGCGGCGUGCCUAAUACAUGCAAGUCGAGCGAACAGACGAGGAGCUUGCUCCUCUGACGUUAGCGGCGGACGGGUGAGUAACACGUGGAUAACCUACCUAUAAGACUGGGAUAACUUCGGGAAACCGGAGCUAAUACCGGAUAAUAUAUUGAACCGCAUGGUUCAAUAGUGAAAGACGGUUUUGCUGUCACUUAUAGAUGGAUCCGCGCCGCAUUAGCUAGUUGGUAAGGUAACGGCUUACCAAGGCAACGAUGCGUAGCCGACCUGAGAGGGGGAUCGCCCACAGUGAAACUGAAACACGGUCCAGCCCCCUAGGGGGGGAAGAAGUAGGAAAUCUUCGGAAAGGGGCGAAGGCCGGAGGGAGAAACCCGGGGGGAGUGAUAAGGGUUUGGGAAUGGUAAACCUUUUUUAUAGGGAAAAAAAAAAUGUGAAAGAAAUUAUGACCUUCUGAAGGGUACCAAACAAGAAACCCCGGCCUAACUAGG
rnacentral:rRNA from 1 species